rnacentral:rRNA from 1 species
CCUGCCUUACACAGGGGGAUAACAACCGGAAAUGGCUGCUAAUACCGCAUAAGCGCACAGUAUCGCAUGAUACGGUGUGAAAAACUCCGGUGGUAUAGGAUGGGCCCGCGUCUGAUUAGCUAGUUGGUGAGGUAGAAGCUCACCAAGGCCACGAUCAGUAGCCGGCUUGAGAGAGUGACCGGCCACAUUGGGACUGAGACACGGCCCAAACUCCUACGGGAGGCAGCAGUGGGGAAUAUUGCACAAUGGGGGAAACCCUGAUGCAGCGACGCCGCGUGAGUGAAGAAGUAUUUCGGUAUGUAAAGCUCUAUCAGCAGGGAAGAUAAUGACGGUACCUGACUAAGAAGCCCCGGCUAACUACGUGCCAGCAGCCGCGGUAAUACGUAGGGGGCAAGCGUUAUCCGGAUUUACUGGGUGUAAAGGGAGCGUAGGCGGCUUGGCAAGUCUGAUGUGAAAGCCCGUUGCUUAACAGCGGGAUUGCAUCAGAAACUACAUUACUAGAGUGCAGGAGAGGUAAGUGGAAUUCCUAGUGUAUCGGUGAAAUGCGUAGAUAUUAGGAGGAACAUCAGUGGCGAAGGCGGCUUACUGGGAUAAUACUGACGCUCAGGUACGAAAGCGUGGGGAGCAAACAGGGUUAAAUACCCUGGUAGUCCACGCCCUAAACGAUGUCAACUA